AUAGAAAGUUGGAGUCUCUGGAAACCAACAGAACUUCCCUGCUUGUCAUGGCUCUUGAAAUUCAAGAAUUCCAGGAUAUAAAUUGUUUUGCCUCAGAAGUCAGGAAAUGGUCCCAUCACUGAGAAUUUCUUUUUGAAGAUAGGAGAAACAUCUUCAUCGACUCUGGAGGGUACACACCUGUGGAGUAGACACCAGGGAAAUUCUUAGACAGCUAUUUUGGCAAGCCUCCUGAGAGAGCUCAUGCAGCUCCACCUCCCAUCAUCUAAACAGCCUGCCUCUACCGGUGUAGGGUCAGAAUAGGUGUAAGUAAAUUGUUUUCAAAUC